UUCGCACUACACGUUUGUGGCUUCCAUGGAUAUAGCAACCAAUGCUUUUAGAUCCCAGUCGCCUAGCUUUGCCAAGACGGUUAGAGGUCAUUUGGAAAGUCUUUUGCCUCUAAUUGUUCUCAUUCAGAAGGCCCGCUGGUUCCUCCUGUGAGGCUUUGGAAAUUCGCGCCCUCCUCUGGUGCCUGUUCAGGUGCACAAGAAGAGCUAGGGGAGGACGCAGGUGCUCAAAAGAGGUGGGGCGGUGAAGGCACCCCCGUGGUGAACCCAAAGAUCAAACCUGCAAACCCAGCUCAAAGUAGAAACUGAAAGUACACUGCCGGCUGAUCCUACGGAAGUUAUGGGAAAGGCAAAGCGCAGAGCCCGGCCGUGGUGUGUGCCGCCCCCCUUGGGAUGGAUGAAGCAGCAGGCGCGGCGUGGGUGAGAGGAACCAGCGGCAGAGGCCGCCCUAAUCCGCACGGACUCCCGGCAACUCCACGGAAGACCAGGCUCCUGGCAGCGACUAUGGGCGGUGAGAGCUCGCUCCUGCUGCAGUUGCGGUCAUCAUGACCACGCCCGCCUCCCGCAGACCAUGUUCCAUGUUUCUUUUAGGUAUAUCUUUGGAAUUCCUCCCCUGAUCCUUGUUCUGUUGCCAGUAGCAUCGUCCGAUUGUGACAUUGAAGGUAAAGAGGGCAGAGAGUAUCAACACGUCCUAAUGAUCAGCAUCAACGACUUGGACACCAUGAUAAAAAAUCGUACCAAUUGCCCGAACAAUGAACCUAAAGUUUUAAAAAAACAUGCAUGUGAUGAUAAUAAGGAAGGUAUAUUUUUAUAUCGUGCUGCUCACAAGUUGAAGCAGUUUGUGAAAGUGAAUGACAGUGAGGAUUUCAAUCUCCACUUAUUAAGAGUUUCACAGGGCACAUUACAAUUGUUGAACUGUACCCCCAAGGAAGACAAUAAAUCUGUAAAGGAACAGAGAAAACAGAAGAGCUUGUGUUCCCUAGGGAUACUACUACAAAAGAUAAAAACUUGUUGGAAUAAAAUUUUGAGGGGCUCUAAAGAACAUUGAAAAAUAUGGAGUGGCAAUAAAAAGACAUAUGAACUUCACUUGUAUCCUUCAAGAAUAUAUCUGCUCAUAUGGGGGGUAGAGUACCCUAGAAGUUACAGAAUGCAUCCUGGUAAAAGUGGAUUAGAGCAAUUGAGAAAUUCAUACUGUAGUACUAGAAGAUGGAUAUAAACAGUGCAAACCAAAUGCUGCAAUCGACAAACCUUCAUAUGUUUUUGGACAUAUAUCAAUCAGUAUUAAUUCUGUGAUUUUUUUGCAAGACAAUCCAAGUAAGAAAGGGAGCUGACGAAUAUUUUUAGGAGCGGACGAUUCCUCACCAAACCCUAUCUUCAGAGGGACUUUUCCAAGUAACUGUGCUUCCUUCUACCAUAAAACAUGGUCAGCUGUGUGAUACACCACCCUGAUGAACUGGCAUUGUUGGUAAACCAUUAGCUAUAGAAAUGAGGGAACUUCACAUUUCUAAAGGUAAACUCUUAAAACUGUCCUUGAAAGUGUUUCCUUAAAGGCAGUCUAAAACAUCCCCAACAAGUGUUGAAAAAAACAUUCUGAGAUUAUGGUAAAAUAAGGAACAAUAUUUUAAAAUGCUUGCUGAAGGUUAUCAAAAUUGUCUUCCUUGAUUUUCAUUGGUUUAUGAUCGAUCUGAAUUUUAGAGAAAAUUUACACUCAAAACAGCAUUCAGCAUACAUGGUUGUGUCAAAUACUUGGGGGAAAAAAUACCCAUGCAUUCGUGUUUGUAUUUGCCUUCUUUGUUUCGUACCCACUAGGCAAGGUAAGUAGAGACAGGCAGGCUAAUUAAUAACAAACUUGGGUAUUCUAGUUUUAUUAUUUCUACUCCCCAAUUAAAGACUUGUUUUAUUUCAGUGAAUUUUUCUUUCAAAUAUGUAUGUGGAGGCUUUAAAUCAGCAUUUUCUAAAGUUUGUUCCAAGAAACCCUAAUCCUCAACAAUGCUACAAAAAAAUAAGACAAUGAGACGAAGAGGAUGAAGAAAAAAGUGGAGGAACGAGAAGAAA